rnacentral:rRNA from 1 species
CGUGAAAUUGUUGAAAGGGAAGCGCUUGUGACCAGACUUGGGCUUGGUUGAUCAUCCGGGGUUCUCCCCGGUGCACUCUUCCGGCUCAGGCCAGCAUCAGUUCGCCCUGGGGGAUAAAGGCUUCGGGAAUGUGGCUCUCUCCGGGGAGUGUUAUAGCCCGCUGCGUAAUACCCUGUGGCGGACUGAGGUUCGCGCAUUCGCAAGGAUGCUGGCGUAAUGGUCAUCAGUGACCCGUCUUGAAACACGG